ACAAAAAUACCUAUACUCCCUAGACAACGACAGACAUGGAAUUCCUAAGCAAAAAAAGGGAAGAAGAGCUAACCUAAAUUCUAAGCUAAGAACGGUGCCCACCCCCAAUUCCCCAAUUUAGCCGCUUCCUUCUUCAAAAAUAACCCUCAUCUCUCUUUGACAAAGCAACAACCAUUCCCCCAUAAUAGAACCCCCCUCCCCUUUUUCUGAGUUUAUAACCUAUGUAUUGGUUAUCCUAAGUACAAGCAAAAAGUGAAGGUCUUAGAGGACAGAAUAAUCCUUGUGCUGAGCAUCUCUAUCAAUUGCUACCAUAAGUCAGUGAGUUCGAGUUGUGUGAUUCGGAAAAGUUCACAAGAAAACUUUGAGCAGUGAGCUCUCCAUCGAAGUGGAGCUUGAGGUUUCCAUUGAGGUAUCGAAUUACCGGUCCCGUCCUUGUUUGCCGGCGAAAGCACCGGUCGAGAGUUAUCGAAUUGUUUAACCUUUUGUAAUUCCAAUUUCAUUGAUUUAUACCAAAGUGAUCGCCGAUUGAUUCGCUGCUCCGGUGAAGUUGUCCUUGCCGAAAAUUUUAUCUCAGAUCUGUGUGGAUCUACUUACCGGGGUUUGAGCAUGACGGACACCCCAGGACCAUCUGGUCAGGACCGUUGCAUCUAGGAGUUGCUUAAGGAGAUUUUUUUUAUGUUUUGAGUAUGUUUCUUUUUUAUGUUGUCUUGUACUUUAUAGUCAUGUCCAGUAAUGAUUCUUUUAGUUGGUGUUGGAGUUUGUCGUAGUAUAGUUGAAAUGAGUCUCUCGUUAUCAUAUUUCCUAUUUUAUAUUUGAAAAUGAAAAAAAGUUGUUGUAAUGAAUAAUCCAAAAAGUUUUUGAUUUUUUUAGUUUAA